rnacentral:rRNA from 1 species
GACGAACGCUGGCGGCGUGCUUAACACAUGCAAGUCGAACGGAAAGGCCCUGCUUUUGUGGGGUGCGCGAGUGGCGAACGGGUGAGUAACACGUGAGUAACCUGCCCUUGACUUUGGGAUAACUUCAGGAAACUGGGGCUAAUACCGGAUAGGAGCUCCUGCUGCAUGGUGGGGUUGGAAAGUUUCGGCGGUUGGGGAUGGACUCGCGGCUUAUCAGCUUGUUGGUGGGGUAGUGGCGUACCAAGGCUUUGACGGGUAGCCGGCCUGAGAGGGUGACCGGCCACAUUGGGACUGAGAUACGGCCCAGACUCCUACGGGAGGCAGCAGUGGGGAAUAUUGCACGAUGGGCGGAAGCCGGAUGCAGCAACGCCGCGUGCGGGAUGACGGCCUGCGGGUUGUAAACCGCUUUCGCGUGUGACGAAGCGUGAGUGACGGUAAUGGGUAAAGAAGCACCGGCUAACUACGUG